rnacentral:rRNA from 1 species
GGCGGACGGGUGAGUAACGCGUAAAGAACUUGCCCUUUAGACUGGGAUAACAGAGGGAAACUUCUGAUAAUACUGGAUAAGUUAGUAUAUCGCAUGAUAUGCAAAUGAAAGCUACGGCACUAAAGGAGAGCUUUGCGUCCUAUUAGCUAGUUGGUAAGGUAAGAGCUUACCAAGGCGAUGAUAGGUAGCCGGCCCGAGAGGGUGGACGGCCACAAGGGGACUGAGAUACGGCCCUUACUCCUACGGGAGGCAGCAGUA